rnacentral:lncRNA from 1 species
ACCUUUUGCUCCCCUUGUCCCCAAACUUGCCAUUCUUCCCUCCAUUGACUUUUUAGUGCAGUUCAAAGCAUGUAAACACAUGCUCACUUUUUAUUUUUUUUCCUUUUGCUUUCCUCCUUGCUCCUCUCCCUUUCCCUCAUUUUCUUUUAUUUUCACCACCUAAAUCACCCUUUCUCUUGAUUUAUCCUCCACUCCACCACCAUUUGAAGCCACUAAACCACCAUCUCACCACCGCUACCGCCAAUGUGCUGUCGCACCGUCGUCCCGCCACUGCCGUCAACCACUACCAAAUUUUUUCAUUUUUUUCUUUUCUCUUCCUUUACUCUUAACCGAUUUUUCUAAACACUAAACUCUUAUAUUUUGUUUAUAAAGAGAUUAUUUCACAUCAUAAUUCUAAUUCAAUUUUUUUAAAAAUAUUUUGUUAUUUUCUAUCUAGUUGCGGAUCGUCCUCUCUAAUCGUUUCAUUAUGGGAAGUUGUUGUGCCCCUAUCCUUUCAAUUCAUUUUAUCCUUCAUUAUGGAAUAUCUUUCGUUCUCUGAUGCUUUUAUUUUCAAUUAGGAUGAUUCUAACAAUUCAUUUUAUCCUUCUUCUGUGAAGUGAAAUCCGUAAAUCUCAGAUCUGUACCCCACUGUUUGGAAGAGUGUGUUUGUUUGCCGAUUGAGUAAGUAUUUUACUUAAUCGUAAAAAUGAGGGUUAUUCAUUAAAAUAACUUUAAUCUGAUACGAUAUGGAAUUUGUUUGAACUUAAGGACUCAAGAUUCGAUCUCUCCCUUUAGAAGUUGGAAACGAAGUUGUUUCUAUUGGAAAUUACGAUAUCAGGUUUGAGGAUCUACCUUAUUAAAAACAUAUGAUAUUAUUUUUUUAGUCAUAAUAUAUAUAUAUAUAUAUAUAUAUAUAUAUAUGAAAGUAUUAAAUAAUUGUAUAAUUCUGAAACUUUAGAUCCGUGAUAUUUCGUAUGUGAUUAUGCAAUUUUUUGUUAAUCGUAAUGAUGUAUGUUUUCCUGAUACUCAUGUAAUGUGAUAUAUAUAUGACGUUAUUGGAUAUGCAUGUAAUAUAAACAUGUCACUGAUUUGUUAAUAUUUUGAUUCACAUGUUAAGCAUGCUAUUAUUCGAAUUUUGAUUCGCAUGUUAAUCAUGUCGUUAUUUUGAUUUUGAGUCUCAUGUUAAACAUGCCACUGUAUUAAAUUGUAAAGAUAUUUGAAUCGCAUGUCAAGCAUGUCGACUGAAAACUUCUGUUCUCUGUGCUAUAUCACAUGCAUGGGGUUGAGAUAAUGUUGUACAGUAGAAGAUUCUGACAGAUCAAUGAUCUGUACGUUUAUGGUGGUUAAACCACACCUUUUGGCAGUAUAUCUGCAAUUUUGUUGGUUGACCACAAUAUUCUGUAGUUGGCAAUAUAUCCACAUUUUCUGGUGGCUCGACCGCAAUAUUCUGUUUCUGGAAACUUGACCAUCUGAAGUGUUCCCUUCUUACUACAUAUACCAAGUUUCCCCUUUAGUGGAUCUUGACACGUGUCAAAUGCAUACUAAUGUUGUCCUUUAAAUGCCCUACCAAAAUCAGGGAAAAUAUAAAAGGAAAUCUGGAUGCAAAUAUUGUUUGACAAGUCAAGUCCAUUCAGAUGACUCUUAACCAAUCCCAUUGCAGGACCCACUUGCACAAUGUUCGAGCAAAUUGACCGUACCAUACCUCUGGCGGUAACUCAUAUGUGGGGUGGUAUUAAAGACAUUUUAGUCCCUACAACUUUCUCAUAUCCUUAGUAGGCACUUCAUGCUCAGCCAAACUUGAAGGCAUACUCUUCGUUUGUUGUACUCUUUCCUCAAUUGAAAAAUACCCCAAGAUGAAAUCCCUAGAUCCUGUUAUGGGCGGAUACUUUAUGCACCAAAACUUUAGUUUGUCAGAAGUCUAUAAAGUGGCAAAAUAUGCUAUAAUGCAUCAAGACAGGUAAUAUGCAUGCCUAGUUUCCCUUUGUCUCAGAUUCACCGAUGUUGGGGUGUGAAAUGUAUUGAUACUUUUGGUCAAGUAUUGAUAAAUUUGAAUGAGUAUUGACAUAUUCACAAAUUUAUCAAUACAUUUUUCGAUAUCGAUACGAAACUGAC